rnacentral:rRNA from 1 species
UGGGGGAAUAUUGCACAAUGGGCGCAAGCCUGAUGCAGCCAUGCCGCGUGUGUGAAGAAGGCCUUCGGGUUGUAAAGCACUUUCAGCGAGGAGGAAGGUGGUGAGCUUAAUACGCUCAUCAAUUGACGUUACUCGCAGAAGAAGCACCGGCUAACUCCGUGCCAGCAGCCGCGGUAAUACGGAGGGUGCAAGCGUUAAUCGGAAUUACUGGGCGUAAAGCGCACGCAGGCGGUUUGUUAAGUCAGAUGUGAAAUCCCCGGGCUCAACCUGGGAACUGCAUUUGAAACUGGCAAGCUAGAGUCUCGUAGAGGGGGGUAGAAUUCCAGGUGUAGCGGUGAAAUGCGUAGAGAUCUGGAGGAAUACCGGUGGCGAAGGCGGCCCCCUGGACGAAGACUGACGCUCAGGUGCGAAAAGCGUGGGGAGCAAAACAGGAUUAGAUACCCUGGUAGUCCACGCUGUAAACGAUGUCGAUUUUGGAGGUUGUGCCCCUUGAGGCGUGGCUUCCGGAGCUAACGCGUUAAAUCGACCGCCUGGGGAGUACGGCCGCAAGGUUAAAACUUAAAUGAAUUGACGGGGUCAUAGCUG